rnacentral:lncRNA from 1 species
GUUUGAAAUGGAGUCAGUGGACAGAACAAGCAAGGUGGGCAGAGUCAAGGACGAGCUACCGAGAUCCUAUUGGCACAUUCUAGCGAACAUUUGCAUAUUUCCAUUAGGGAACGCAUGUGAAAUAACUCAAUUUGUCUUUGCAUUCCUAAACAACGCAACUUUUUAAAUCGUUUGAAAAAGAACUUUUCACAGUGAGUGAUCACCACCCCGGAGUGAGGUCAGGGAGCGUGCCAGCCUGCCAGAAGCGCCCCUUUCAAGCCAAAGGUUCGUCUUGUCUCCUCAAGCCUACCAGCGUAUUUCCCGUACUCCUGUUAUCGCUCUAGUCCCUGCCUUCUUGUUUUCCC